AACAGAUUUACUUCGGUAAUGACGUUAGGAAAGCGAGCGGCGGAUGGGUGAGUAACACGUGGGGAACCUGCCCCAUAGUCUGGGAUACCACUUGGAAACAGGUGCUAAUACCGGAUAAGAAAGCAGAUCGCAUGAUCAGCUUUUAAAAGGCGGCGUAAGCUGUCGCUAUGGGAUGGCCCCGCGGUGCAUUAGCUAGUUGGUAAGGUAAAGGCUUACCAAGGCGAUGAUGCAUAGCCGAGUUGAGAGACUGAUCGGCCACAUUGGGACUGAGACACGGCCCAAACUCCUACGGGAGGCAGCAGUAGGGAAUCUUCCACAAUGGACGCAAGUCUGAUGGAGCAACGCCGCGUGAGUGAAGAAGGUUUUCGGAUCGUAAAGCUCUGUUGUUGGUGAA
rnacentral:rRNA from 1 species